rnacentral:SRP_RNA from 1 species
AAUGAGGGGUCCCUGCGGUGGAGGCCUGUGAACCUGGUCAGGGGCGAAAGUCAGCAGCCAUAAGCAGUUCCCUUCAGGUGCAGUGGGCCUCUCAUUCGG